CAGGUCACUCCUACGGGAGGCAGCAGUGGGGAAUCUUGCACAAUGGGGGAAACCCUGAUGCAGCGACGCCGCGUGAGCGAUGAAGCCCUUCGGGGUGUAAAGCUCUUUCGGCAGGGAAGAUAAUGACGGUACCUGCAGAAGCAGCUGCGGCUAACUACGUGCCAGCAGCCGCGGUAAUACGUAGGCAGCGAGCGUUGUUCGGAGUUACUGGGCGUAAAGGGUGUGUAGGCGGUUGUUUAAGUUUGGUGUGAAAUCUCCCGGCUCAACUGGGAGGGUGCGCCGAAUACUGAAUGACUUGGAGUGCGGGAGAGGAAAGUGGAAUUCCUGGUGUAGCGGUGAAAUGCGUAGAUAUCAGGAGGAACACCGGUGGUGUAGACGGCUUUCUGGACCGUAACUGACGCUGAGACACGAAAGCGUGGGUAGCAAACAGGAUUAGAUACCCUGGUAGUCCACGCCCUAAACGAUGCAUAUUUGGUGUGGGCAGUUCAUUCUGUCCGUGCCGGAGCUAACGCGUUAAAUAUGCCGCCUGGGGAGUACAGUCGCAAGGCUGAAACUUAAAGGAAUUGACG
rnacentral:rRNA from 1 species